GCAUCAGCAUCUUGCUCCCAUUGCUUCUUCUCUCCUCUGAUGGUGUUUAAGCCCUUUUGAACAGCAGCCCAUGGAAGAGGAUGGGUGGACAGAUUGUCUAUUAAAACAGGUAAGUUAUUUAUUGUGCAAUAAACAAUUCAGUACAAAUCAUAAAAUCUAGCUAGUCUGUUACUUUGAAUCUCUUUAAAUCAAAUCAUCUUAUAUUUUGGGUUUUUUUUCAAUCAGCUGCAAAGAUGAUACAGAACACAGAACAAGAUCAAAGGCUAUGUAUUAUUUCACUAUGACCAAAGCCAUAAGAAUAACAGCAUGAGAACAAUGCGAGAACAACUGACAACAGAGGAAAACAGCUGUCCCAGAAGAGCUGGAAAACACUCUUAUGGCAGCUUAGGAGAAAAGAACAUUGUACCUUGACAAGCACUGUGGUUUCCCAUCUCUGUCAAUGGGUUCAGCAAGUGACUCAGAGUGACACAUAAAUGAACAGUCAGCGCCGCUCCCUGCAGUGUCUGGCCAUUCAGAGAACUCCCUCACCACCCAUACAUCUUUGUGGUUUGAGAAGUCUGACAAGAUUGCCAUCAAAAGUGGAAAAUUCGGGAAAGCCCAACUCUGUUUUGACAUCAGCCACUGGUUUAAAAUGCCAAAGCACAGAGAAAGCAAAACCACGAAGAUACAGGAACUGCAACGCAACUGUUGUCAAGUGUUAAUACAUGCAUAUUGAACCACCACAUCCUGAAUGUGAUAAGCACCUGCCAGGAUCUGCUCCAGGACUCACCAGAGCUGUCCCUAAUGAGACCUGAUUUGCUCUUG
rnacentral:lncRNA from 1 species